CCAGAGCACGUGCAUGGCAAUCAUGUUGACAUCAGCACCACACAGGAGGUCACGCGAACGAUCCAUGUGCCCCGCAAUCUGACGAUCUAGGCCUCAUCCUGCGCGCUUGAACGGGCCAUAUGCAUUCCCUCUUUAGACGAGAUCAAACGGACAAGAUUGAUAGUGAUGGAUGGUCCAUAUUCGUCCACCUAUCAGCCUAAAUGGAAAAUUAUCGAAUGGUCUUACUCGCUCCGCAUCGACACAAAUAGACGGUCUAUAUCGAAAAGGACAAGAGUAUUUAAACUCUUCUU
rnacentral:lncRNA from 1 species